GAUAAAAGUUUAAGAGAUUUAUUGUUGAAGAUGGACUUCUAGAACAAAAACUUUUGCACACUCUACAUAUUGUCCAUGAUUUGGCAAAGAUACUUCUACAAAUAUGCUAAUGACAGUGAUUCAUCCCAUGUCCAGCAUGCGACCAUCAAAAACUGAAAAGGCCCAUGCAAUAGACGACUAAAUCACUAGUCAACAUCUCAAGAAAUGCGGGAAGAUGAGCCCUGCCCAUUAAGUCAGCAUGCAGAUGGACAGGAGACAAAAUUCCGAGGCCGUAUAUUUUUUUCACUGUCUUGUCUUGUUUUGAAAAAUGAAUAGCAUAGUUUAAAACCCUUUCCAUGUUAGAUGGGCAGGCCCAGGGAGUUCUAUAAAUUGCGCCAUUUUGAUCUAUCAGAAAAAGUUAAGUUGAUUUUAUAAGCUCAGCGAGGUUAGGGUUCUAUUAAGAAUAAUCCAAAUGAUUUUUUUUAACAGAUUUACACAUUUUAUAUCCCUUGAUUUUUUAUAUUUUUACUUGUUUUGAGGCUAUGGUCAAAUUCACAGCCAGCAAGCCCUUGACGGCUCUAAGCCCAGAAAAAGUUAAAUAUAGGCUUUGCUUAUCAGAAGAAUGGCAAGUUUAGAAAUUCACUCAACAAUGAUGGAGUGGGUUUAAACUUUUACCAUGUUAAGGUGGAGCUUUCAGAAACCCAAAACGCCUAUUCGUUCCAAUCAAAAUCUUUUCCUUUUUUAAUACCAGACUAUUUGCUCCGUUGCUGCCAGUCCCAAACUGAAGAACCAACAAAUCAUAUUACGUGCAUCUUAAAACGGGGCAAUCACGUUUGGUCUCAAACUGGCCAGAAAGUACUGUUUCAUCUUGCUUCUUUUGCUUAGCAGCGAUAUUGAUGAUUGAAGAACCUGGGAAUAUCUAACUGAUAACUCUUGCUACCCCCUUCAACCAUUUUUUAUUUUACCUUUCGAAUUUUUAUUCUCAGCAUCAGAUCACUUGGACAUGCUUUCUCUAAUUACAAAAAGAAAACAACCUGAUUAGAAGCGAUGCACAAGAGAAUUCUUUGUGGGACUCUAAAUCUCUAUCUCAAAAAGUGUCAAUAAGGUUGAGGGAAAUUAGUUUUGUCUCGUUUUACUCCAAUAGCAUCUUUCCUCAUUGUUUACCAGAACACGGAUUUCAUCAUCUACUACAAGUGAUUUCUUUAUAAUUAUUACAUAUUAAUUUACUGACGCCAUUCCAAAUUUGCCAUCAUUCUGUUGGGUAAAUAUCUUCUACAAUUAGUUAAAUCAAGGAUCGUAUUCUUGGACUAUAUGAAAUGGCCAAAAAAAAAAAACAUUACCAAACUCAAAAGGAUCCCUAUCUCCUGACACUCAAAGAUGAGAUAUAGGAACUUGUAGCAUAUCUGUCAUCUCCUUAGUCUUUCAGAUUUUUCAUGAUAAUGACUAGAGUUCUAGGAUCAAGUAACUGCCAUUGUAGUAAGUACUGUAGAGGGAAAAUCUCCAAUGGUUUAUGCUUGUAAUGAAAUAGAGGUGGGGUGAUGAAACAAAUCCUAUCACUGCUCAGAGCCAGAGGGUUUGAAUGAUGGAAACUAUUUUGGUUUGUCAGCAUACACCCCUAUCAAUUGAGACUAGGCUUUACUGUAAUCUACAUCUAUGGUACAACAAAUGGAAUUUUCACUAAUCUACUUACAAUAUUUCAAACUGCUAUGCUAUGGGAAGAAAAUCAAAGCUAAUAAUUGUUGGAAAGUGAUGCAUGAGCCUCUCACCGCCAUGCAUAGAGUUCAGUACAAGUUUUGCCAAUCAGAUUUCUCAUGUGCAAGACCAUGCAGAUUAACUUCAUGUUCAUUGCUAUGCAGUAAUUAGAUAAGAUUUAGUUUGCAUUUAUUUAUAUUUAGAACUGUAAGUUAAUUGAGCUGUUUGAAUAAUGCCCAGCGAAUGCAUGGAAUGUAAUCAACCUAAAUAUAGAAGUGAACUAUUUGUUCCAAGAGGCUGCAACCUCUAUAAAAGACUGCCCUUUGUACCGGUUGAAAUAGAGCUUGGAAAAUGUAGUUAGUUUCUCAAUUCUGAACGAAUAAAAGUUUCUUGUGUGUGUAAAACA